rnacentral:rRNA from 1 species
UACGUAGGGUGCGAGCGUUAAUCGGAAUUACUGGGCGUAAAGCGUGCGCAGGCGGUUUUGUAAGCCAGAUGUGAAAUCCCCGGGCUUAACCUGGGAAUGGCAUUUGGGACUGCAAGGCUCGAGUGCGGCAGAGGAGACUGGAAUUCCUGGUGUAGCAGUGAAAUGCGUAGAUAUCAGGAGGAACACCGAUGGCGAAGGCAGGUCUCUGGGCCGUAACUGACGCUGAGGAGCGAAAGCGUGGGGAGCGAACAGG